rnacentral:rRNA from 1 species
GAUGAACGCUGGCGGCGUGCCUAAUACAUGCCAGUCGAGCGAACGGACGAGAAGCUUGCUUCUCUGAUGUUAGCGGCGGACGGGUGAGUAACACGUGGAUAACCUACCUAUAAGACUGGGAUAACUUCGGGAAACCGGAGCUAAUACCGGAUAAUAUUUUGAACCGCAUGGUUCAAAAGUGAAAGACGGUCUUGCUGUCACUUAUAGAUGGAUCCGCGCUGCAUUAGCUAGUUGGCAAGGUACCGGCUUACCAAGGCAACAAUGCAUAGCCAACCUGAGAGGGUGAUCGCCCACCCAGGAACUGAGACACGGUCCAGACUCCUACGGGAGGCAGCAGUAGGGAAUCUUCCGCAAUGGGCGAAAGCCUGACGGAGCAACGCCGCGUGAGUAAUGAGGGUCUUCGGAUCGUAAGACUCUGUUAUUAGGAAAGAACAUAUGUAUAAGUAACAGUGCACAUCUUGACGGUACCUGAUCAGAAAGCCACGGCUAACUACGUG